rnacentral:rRNA from 1 species
AUUGAACGCUGGCGGCAUGCCUUACACAUGCAAGUCGAACGGCAGCACGGGAGCAAUCCUGGUGGCGAGUGGCGAACGGGUGAGUAAUAUAUCGGAACGUGCCCAGUAGUGGGGGAUAACUGCUCGAAAGAGCAGCUAAUACCGCAUACGACCUGAGGGUGAAAGGGGGGGAUCGCAAGACCUCUCGCUAUUGGAGCGGCCGAUAUCAGAUUAGCUAGUUGGUGGGGUAAAGGCCUACCAAGGCAACGAUCUGUAGUUGGUCUGAGAGGACGACCAGCCACACUGGGACGGGGACCCGGCCCAGACUCCUAAGGGAGGCAGCAGUGGGGAAUUUUGGACAAUGGGCGCAAGCCUGAUCCAGCAAUGCCGCGUGCAGGAAGAAGGCCUUCGGGUUGUAAACUGCUUUUGUCAGGGAAGAAAUCCUCUAGGUUAAUACCCUUGGGGGGAUGACGGUACCUGAAGAAUAAGCACCGGCUAACUACUUGCCAGCCGCCGCAGUAAGAC